CGUACACUCAGAAACAAAAAGGCACAAUAUACUGAAAAGCAACUGGCAGAAAUUGAGGAGUCAAUAAAUACAAAUCAAUUUUGGGACCGAUGGAAAAAUCUGAAAAAAACACAACAAGAAGAAUUAGCGAUACAAGAUGGGGAUAUUUGGACAAACCAUUUUCAAACACUUUUUAAAAAAGUGGAAUUAGGAGCAAAUCCUGACAAAAACCAUAUAAAUAAAAAAUUGCAGGAACUUGAAUUGGCUAUUAAAGAUAAUCAAAAUCCAUUGGACUUCUCGAUUACUGAACAAGAGCUUAAAGAUAAAAUUAAAAAAUUGAAACCUAAAAAAGCAUCUGGACCUGACAGUAUUUUAAAUGAGAUGCUAAAAUGCACAAGCACAAAAUUUCAACUGGCCAUCCUAAAAUUAUUCAAUUUGGUUCUGAGUGUAGGUUACUUCCCUGACAUCUGGAACCAUGGGCUUAUAACACCAAUAUUCAAAAAUGGAGAUAAAUUUGACCCAAACAAUUACCGAGGCAUCUGUGUGAACACUGUAAUCGAACCAAUUGCUCUUUAUGGCAGUGAAGUGUGGGGUCCACUCAUCAGUCAAGAAUUUGGCAAAUGGGACAAA